rnacentral:rRNA from 1 species
CAGCUUACCAUGCAGUCCAGCGGUAGGACAAGGGGAGCUUGCUCCCUGGGUGACGAGCGGCGGACGGGUGAGUAAUGUCUGGGAAACUGCCUGAUGGAGGGGGAUAACUACUGGAAACGGUAGCUAAUACCGCAUAACGUCGCAAGACCAAAGAGGGGGACCUUCGGGCCUCUUGCCAUCAGAUGUGCCCAGAUGGGAUUAGCUAGUAGGUGGGGUAAUGGCUCACCUAGGCGACGAUCCCUAGCUGGUCUGAGAGGAUGACCAGCCACACUGGAACUGAGACACGGUCCAGACUCCUACGGGAGGCAGCAGUGGGGAAUAUUGCACAAUGGGCGCAAGCCUUAAUCCAGCAUAUCCCGCGAUGUGAGGAAGAAAGCCUUUCGGGUUGAAAAAGAACUUCUCAGCAAGGAGGAAAGGGGGUGAAGAGUAAUACGGUUCAUCAAUUGACGUUACUCGCAGAAGAAGCACCGGCUAACUCCGUGCCAGCAGCCCCCGGUAAUACGAGGGUGCAAGCGUUAAUUGGAAUUACUGGGCGUAAAGCGUACGCAGGGCGGUUUUUUAAGUCAGAUGUGAAAUCCCCGGGCUCAAUCCUGGGAACUGCAUUGAAACUGGCAAGCUAGAGUCUCGUAGAAGGGGGGUAGAAUUCCAGGUGUAGCGGUGAAAUGCGUAGAGAUCUGGAGGAAUACCGGUGGCGAAGGCGGCCCCCUGGACGAAGACUGACGCUCAGGUGCGAAAGCGUGGGGAGCAAACAGGAUUAGAUACCCUGGUAGUCCACGCUGUAAAACGAUGUCGAUUUGGAGGUUGUGCCCUUGAGGCGUGGCUUCCGGAGCUAACGCGUUAAAUCGACCGCCUGGGGAGUACGGCCGCAAGGUUAAAACUCAAAUGAAUUGACGGGGGCCCGCACAAGCGGUGGAGCAUGUGGUUUAAUUCGAUGCAACGCGAAGAACCUUACCUACUCUUGACAUCCAGAGAACUUAGCAGAGAUGCUUUGGUGCCUUCGGGAACUCUGAGACAGGUGCUGCAUGGCUGUCGUCAGCUCGUGUUGUGAAAUGUUGGGUUAAGUCCCGCAACGAGCGCAACCCUUAUCCUUUGUUGCCAGCGGUUCGGCCGGGAACUCAAAGGAGACUGCCAGUGAUAAACUGGAGGAAGGUGGGGAUGACGUCAAGUCAUCAUGGCCCUUACGAGUAGGGCUACACACGUGCUACAAUGGCGUAUACAAAGAGAAGCGACCUCGCGAGAGCAAGCGGACCUCAUAAAGUACGUCGUAGUCCGGAUUGGAGUCUGCAACUCGACUCCAUGAAGUCGGAAUCGCUAGUAAUCGUAGAUCAGAAUGCUACGGUGAAUACGUUCCCGGGCCUUGUACACACCGCCCGUCACACCAUGGGAGUGGGUUGCAAAAGAAGUAGGUA